rnacentral:rRNA from 1 species
GACAGAGGGGGCAAGCGUUGCUCGGAAUUACUGGGCGUAAAGGGCGCGUAGGCGGGAUGGCAAGUCGGUCGUGAAAUCCUUCGGCUCAACCGAAGAACGUCGAUCGAUACUGCUGUUCUUGAGGGUUGCAGAGGAGACUGGAAUUCCCGGUGUAGCGGUGAAAUGCGUAGAUAUCUGGAGGAACACCGGUGGCGAAGGCGGCAUCCUGGACCGGCAUUGACGCUGAGGAGCGAAAGCCAGGGGAGCAAACGGG